rnacentral:rRNA from 6 species
CCCGAGGAAAAGAAAUCAACCGAGAUUCCCCCAGUAGCGGCGAGCGAACGGGGAGGAGCCCAGAGCCUGAAUCAGCAUGUGUGUUAGUGGAAGCGUCUGGAAAGGCGCGCGAUACAGGGUGACAGCCCCGUACACAAAAGCGCAUGUGCUGUGAGCUCGAUGAGUAGGGCGGGACACGUGGUAUCCUGUCUGAAUAUGGGGGGACCAUCCUCCAAGGCUAAAUACUCCUGACUGACCGAUAGUGAACCAGUACCGUGAGGGAAAGGCGAAAAGAACCCCGGCGAGGGGAGUGAAAAAGAACCUGAAACCGUGUACGUACAAGCAGUGGGAGCACAGGUUUACCUGUGUGACUGCGUACCUUUUGUAUAAUGGGUCAGCGACUUAUAUUCUGUAGCAAGGUUAACCGUAUAGGGGAGCCGGAGGGAAACCGAGUCUUAACCGGGCGUUAAGUUGCAGGGUAUAGACCCGAAACCCGGUGAUCUAGCCAUGGGCAGGUUGAAGGUUGGGUAACACUAACUGGAGGACCGAACCGACUAAUGUUGAAAAAUUAGCGGAUGACCUGUGGCUGGGGGUGAAAGGCCAAUCAAACCGGGAGAUAGCUGGUUCUCCCCGAAAGCUAUUUAGGUAGCGCCUCGUGAAUUCAUCUCCGGGGGUAGAGCACUGUUUCGGCUAGGGGGCCAUCCCGGCUUACCAACCCGAUGCAAACUGCGAAUACCGGAGAAUGU